AUUGAACGCUGGCGGCAUGCUUUACACAUGCAAGUCGAACGGUAACAGGUUAAGCUGACGAGUGGCGAACGGGUGAGUAAUGCAUCGGAACGUGCCCGAUCGUGGGGGAUAACGCAGCGAAAGCUGCGCUAAUACCGCAUACGAUCUGAGGAUGAAAGCGGGGGACCGUAAGGCCUCGCGCGAUCGGAGCGGCCGAUGUCAGAUUAGGUAGUUGGUGGGGUAAAGGCCCACCAAGCCGACGAUCUGUAGCUGGUCUGAGAGGACGACCAGCCACACUGGGACUGGGACACGGCCCAGACUCCUACGGGAGGCAGCAGUGGGGAAUUUUGGACAAUGGGCGAAAGCCUGAUCCAGCAAUGCCGCGUGCAGGAAGAAGGCCUUCGGGUUGUAAACUGCUUUUGUACGGAGCGAAAAGGCCCUUUCUAAUACAAGGGGCUCAUGACGGUACCGUAAGAAUAAGCACCGGCUAACUACGUGCCAGCAGCCGCAGUAAGAC
rnacentral:rRNA from 1 species